UGGACAGAAUAUUUAGCUUUUGAAAUACUUGGUUUAUUCAGUUUUAUAUUAGUUCAACUAUUCAAAUUGCCCUUAACAACAAAAAGACCUUAAUAACAACCAUUUCAAUAGCUAAAUACCUGUCCAACCUAUGUACACGCCACUUACUUUAAAUAUAUAUUUAAAAAUACCCCAAUAGAAUUGCGUUUUAGGGAUAUUUCCUACAAAACAGGCACUUUGUCUCAUUACAUUUUACAUGAAAGGUUUGUCCAAGAUCUCUUGACAGCAAACUGAUUCUUUCCCAUAAAACAUACCCAUGAGAGUAUCCAUCUCCUCUGUAAACGCAACUCAGCAUUCUAGCCUUAAAACACAUCAUCCAUUUCAAUUCAAGUUCUCUUACACAAUGCCACAUACAACAAAACUUUUUUGUGUGUGUAAAUUAAAGCAUUCACUCAUAAGGUACGGUUUGCAUUGUAUAAUGAAAGUCUACGACAGAGCCGUCAAUAAUUGGCUUAUUGCACUAAAAGGCUUAUGGGACAGUGUUUGUCAGAGUUCACAGGGCUAAAACGCGAAAUAAAGAAACUGAUAAGAUAAACAGAUCAUUUCCAGAUGCGCUAUUGACAAAUGCAAGUUAAAAGCAACAUUAUAAAUAAGCUCCGAGAUCAUAAGUCAGAAUGAAAUGUCGCACUCAAAAUGAAUGAGGCACAGAGACAGUUGACUAUGUGGAAACUUUUUGCCAACCCUUGAGUUUCAAAGUUCAUCUUUUGUUGAUUCUGCAGUCCUUAGCUAAUCUGUCACCUCUGCUUAAUGAGCGAGCCGAAGAGAAAGCCGUCAGGAACCGCAAGGAACCAAUAGUUCAAUGGUAGGCGCAAUAUUUUCCAGACAGCACAUGGACUAGAAAGUUAAAGCAUCACAGAGGUAUAUAGAAUCAUUUGAAAGACUGUGAAAUUGGAAGAAAAGAGGUGCCUCCAAUGUUCAAAAAGCAGAAUAAGACAUGGACACAUGGGAAAUGAGAUGUAAAAGAACAAAUAUGGAUUUCCGACUAGUUGGAAUGAAAUGGAAUGACAUUUCAGUUGUCUUUUUUGCAGAUGCUAGAUAAGAUUUUGCUGGAAAAGCAUGAUUUACUAGUAAAAUAUCAAGAAUGGUUUCAGAUUAGCGCAGCAAAUGUCCCGAGCAGUGAUCCUCAAAUCUGGCUCGCGAGAUCCACUUUCCUGCAGAGUUUAGCUCCAACCCCGAUC